rnacentral:lncRNA from 1 species
AGCUUCUCGAGAUCAACUGACAGCUCAUCAGAACAGCAUUGAUCUGGAAGGAGGGGUUCUCCAUGGUGGCCAGAUCAGGGUGAUGGUUUCACUCUCUACCUGAGGAAGGAAUGUGUCCUGCCGAGAUUUAUUAAAUUGAUGAAUCUCAUCGAUAAAAAGGAUGAUGUUCCUCUUGAAAAAGCUCUUCUCAUUCUGCGCUUGUUUGAUGAUAUCAUGCAUAUCAGCUGUCUUGGCGCUGGUUUCCGACAAGGUCACAUAUCUUACCCUCUUGCUGUUGAUGAUGAUGUGGGCCAGCGGGGUCUUGCAGCAGUCCGAGGCCCCCACAGGAUAAGCAAGGGCACCUGUUGGCUUCCAGCAGCCAGUGCAGCAUCUAAGGCCCUAUGGCACGGCCCUGCCCCACGAAGUCCUGCAGCGCGUUGGGCUACAGCUGGCACUGCCACCGGCCUGCCCUCCAGCAUCUACCACACCUCCUCUGCCUUGGAUGCCCGUGUAUGCGAGCACUCCCCAGGCCGAAGAUGGUGGCUUCCGCGUCCUCCUCGCCGACCGCGUCCCCGUCACCAGCCGCCUCUUCCUAGGGCGACUCCGCCUCGUCCCAGCUACUCGGGGACUUGCUGCCCGCAGCCGCCUGCUGCCCCGCGCCCUUCCUGCCCAGGCUGCCGAGCCCCGCCACCGGGAAGAGGUGCACGCCGCUGGGAGUGGGAGGCGUGUGGUAGCACUCAUGGCUCUCCGUCUCCCUGACGCCGCCACAGUCCGGCUCCUGAGCGUCUCCCUCGCUGCUCUCGGCAGCCGUCACUGUGGCCGGCUGUUGGAGCGCCGAGCUCUCCAACGGCCAACGCCGCAGUCAUCGGUCCACGUAAGAGUUGAUGUGCAGGGCGGGCACGGCCCGCUGGCACUGGAGACACCGCAUCCGGGGAACCGAACCGGUGAGACUGAAGGCCACUCACCUCCAUGGCGGCCCACGCCGUGCGUUGCCCCGGAGCUGCGCGACCCUCACUCGGGGAAGCGGCAGGACGCGCGCGGGCCAGGGGGGGCGCAGUCCAUGCCUCACAUCUUCCGCCCUCAGCCGGCGGCCCUGAUGCCUCGCGAGGCGCGGGGCGAAGGGGAAUUUUUGUUAACACUGAAUCUUUUCACAAUGUUCAUUGCCGAGACCAGCUCAACAGGAUUGCGCUGA